rnacentral:lncRNA from 1 species
AGAGGUGAGAGUCGUGGGCCAGCGGCAACGCGGAACAGCAGCAGCCAUGCGGAGAGGUAUUUGCUCUCACAGAUGAGGGUAAGUCCCCCGACUACAUCCCUGGUGUGUCUGACUCUAUGUGGACAGCCUGCCCUGACAUGUAAAGCUAAAGUACCUUGAAGACUCAGAAGAGGAGUAGGAUCAUCUGCUUAGAGGGAUUGCAAAAGAUGACACAGAUAAUAGAACAUGUGAAUUAGGCCGCU